rnacentral:rRNA from 1 species
UACGGAGGGUGCAAGCGUUAUCCGGAUUCACUGGGUUUAAAGGGUGCGUAGGUGGGUUGGUAAGUCAGUGGUGAAAUCUCCAGGCUUAACUUGGAAACUGCCAUUGAUACUAUCAAUCUUGAAUACCGUGGAGGUCAGCGGAAUAUGUCAUGUAGCGGUGAAAUGCUUAGAUAUGACAUAGAACACCAAUUGCGAAGGCAGCUUACUACGGAUCGAUUGACACUGAGGCACGAAAGCGUGGGGAUCAAACAGG